GCGGGGGUCGCCAAGCAUGGUCAAAGGCGCUAGGCUCAGAACCUAGUCCCUUAGGGGUUCGUGGGUUCAAAUCCCACCCCCCGCACCU
rnacentral:tRNA from 1 species